UACUUGACUUUCUACUGCAGUGGCGUACUUUGAACAAGAUCAUUCACGGAGGGGUUUUGGUGGUGGUGGUGGUGGUGGUGGUGAGUUGUUUUUUUUUUUUUAUUUUAUUUUAUUUUUAUUUUGUUUUUUUUUUCUUCUUCUUUUCUUUCAUCUGGGCAAAGAAGAGGUGGAAGGAAGCCAAGUAAAAGGAGACAACAACAAAGAAAAGGAAUUGUAAUUUUUUUUUUUUAAUGUAUGGUACAGUUUUUACCAAAAUGUGUUUUUAGACGCCUAGUAGUGUUAAAGAAACACCUGGUUGGUGGUGCUGUUCUUAAAUCAGUCAGGGGCGGAGCAGGUGGCAGUCCUUUGUCCAUCCUAGCUUGAUGUCUGUCUGUCUUGGUGGCCAAAGCUGUUUUAUGCCUAGGACUCAUGAAAAUCCAAUCCAAUCCAAUCCAAUCCAGGCAGCAUAGCCCAGAAGGAGGAAGACAGACCUGCAGACUGUCAUGCCACCCACAGGCCUGUCCUCCAGUGUACAGGUGGGCCACAGAAACCUGUUUGCUGACAGGCCACAUCGCAUGGAUGAAGUCACUCAGAAACCUGCCAGCCGAGUGGCCAGCCUAUAUCUGGAGCCAGCACAAUGUGCAAGCACGUGGUGGUCAGCAUGCACCAGGCUAGCCUUGGAGCUUCUGGAGACUCUCAGGUCUCUGCUGUCCAUCUCCACACAGGAGUGACACGAUUAUAGACAUGUGCUCGCACACCCGGUUUUCAUGGGUUCUGAAUCCUUACACGUGUACUACAUGAUGGGAUCUUCAGUGCGAUAGAGAUCACCUACUUCAACCCUUGCAGGAUCAGCACAGUGAAGGUAAGGCUGGUCACACCUUCCCUGUCACUGGCACAAAUAUGGCCGCAGAUUCCCAUCAUUUCAAUGUAAAGUUACACUGUCUGUCUAAGUUAGGGUUUUAUUGCUGUGAGCAGACACCACAACCAAGGCAAAUCUUUUUUUUUUCCCCAAGGCAAUUCUUAAGGUCAACAUUUAACUGGGGCUAGCUUACAAACUCAGAGGUUCAGUCCAUUAUCAUCAAGGUGGGAGCAUGACAGCAUCCAGGCAGGCAUGGUGCAGGAGGAGCUGAGAGUUCUACAUCUUCAUCUGAAGGUGACUAGGAGAAGAUGGGCUUCUGGGCAGCUAGGAUGAGGGUCUUAAUGCCCAUGCCCACAGUGGCACACUUCCUCCAACAACAAGGCCACACCUACUAUUACAAGGCCACACCUCCAAAUAUUGCCACUCCCUGGGUGAAACCACCACACUAUUAAUCUUAUUCAACUUUGCUAGACUGGGGAGGAAGGAAGACAGU
rnacentral:lncRNA from 1 species